GUCCCUGUAGCUCAGACGGAUAGAGCGGCUGCCUUCUAAGCAGCGGGUCGUGAGUUCGAAUCUCACCAGGGACGCCA
rnacentral:tRNA from 1 species